rnacentral:rRNA from 1 species
CAGCAGCCACGGGAAUACGUAGGGUGCGAGCGUUAAUCGGAAUUACUGGGCGUAAAGCGUGCGCAGGCGGUUGUGUAAGACAGGUGUGAAAUCCCCGGGCUUAACCUGGGAACUGCGCUUGUGACUGCACAGCUAGAGUAUGGCAGAGGGGGGUGGAAUUCCACGUGUAGCAGUGAAAUGCGUAGAGAUGUGGAGGAACACCGAUGGCGAAGGCAGCCCCCUGGGCCAAUACUGACGCUGAGGCACGAAAGCGUGGGGAGCAAACAGGAUUAGAUACCCCCGUAGUCCCUGUCUCUUAUAA